UACAGAGGUCUCGAGCGUUGUUCGGAAUCACUGGGCGUAAAGGGCGCGUAGGCGGCCUGAUAAGUCGGGGGUGAAAGCCUGUGGCUCAACCACAGAAUUGCCUUCGAUACUGUUAGGCUUGAGACCGGAAGAGGUAAGUGGAACUGCGAGUGUAGAGGUGAAAUUCGUAGAUAUUCGCAAGAACACCAGUGGCGAAGGCGGCUUACUGGUCCGGUUCUGACGCUGAGGCGCGAAAGCGUGGGGAGCAAACAGG
rnacentral:rRNA from 1 species